UACGUAGGGUGCAAGCGUUAAUCGGAAUUACUGGGCGUAAAGGGCGCGUAGGUGGUCUGAUAAGGGUGUGGUGAAAGCCCGGGGCUCAACCCCGGGUCGGCCGUGCCGACUGUCAGACUAGAGUGCUGUAGGGGCAGGCGGAAUUCCGGGUGUAGCGGUGGAAUGCGUAGAGAUCCGGAGGAAGACCGGUGGCGAAGGCGGCCUGCUGGGCAGAUACUGACACUGAGGCGCGACAGCGUGGGGAGCAAACAGG
rnacentral:rRNA from 1 species